rnacentral:tRNA from 1 species
GCUUGGUCAGUUAAACGUCUGACUUCAGCUCAGGUCAUGAUCUCACAGUUUGUGGGUUCAAGCCCCACAUCAAGCU